rnacentral:rRNA from 1 species
GUUUGAUCAUGGCUCAGGAUGAACGCUAGCGGCAGGCCUAAUACAUGCAAGUCGAACGGGGUGUUUCAGCAAUGGAACAUUCAGUGGCGCACGGGUGCGUAACGCGUAUGCAACCUACCUUAAACUGGGGGAUAGCCUUCCGAAAGGGAGAUUAAUACCGCAUAAUACUAUUUGAUGGCAUCUGAAGAUAGUUAAAGAUUUAUUGGUUUAAGAUGGGCAUGCGUGCCAUUAGCUAGUUGGUGAGGUAACGGCUCACCAAGGCUACGAUGGCUAGGGGUUCUGAGAGGAUGAUCCCCCACACUGGUACUGAGAUACGGACCAGACUCCUACGGGAGGCAGCNCUAGGGAAUAUUGGGCAAUGGAC